GAUGAACGCUGGCGGCGUGCCUAACACAUGCAAGUCGAGCGGUAACAGGUGUAGCAAUACAUGCUGACGAGCGGCGAACGGGUGAGUAAUGCUUCGGAAUCUACCUUAUGGUGGGGAAUAACUAGCCGAAAGGUUAGCUAAUACCGCAUACGUCCUACGGGAGAAAGCAGGGGAUCGCAAGACCUUGCGCCAAAAGAUGAGCCGAAGUCGGAUUAGCUAGUUGGUAGGGUAACGGCCUACCAAGGCGACGAUCCGUAGCUGGUCUGAGAGGACGACCAGCCACACUUGGACUGAGACACGGCCCAGACUCCUACGGGAGGCAGCAGUGGGGAAUAUUGGACAAUGGGGGAAACCCUGAUCCAGCGACGCCGCGUGUGUGAAGAAGGCCUGCGGGUUGUAAAGCACUUUUAGUGGGGAUGAAAUGUGCAGGGUUAAUACCUCUGCAUUUUGACCUAACCCACAGAAAAAGCACCGGCUAACUCUGUGCCAGCCGCCGCCGUAA
rnacentral:rRNA from 1 species